CUCUCUCUCUGAAAAUAAAUAAGCAUUAAAAAAAUAAAAUUCUGUGGGUACCAACACAGAAAUUAUGGAUGCAAGAUUAAUCUGAAUUUUGCUACACACUUUGGAAAGCAUGAAGUUCUCAUUACACGUAACUGAUUUUUGAAGUCUUACCAGAUGUCCAUCUCAACCCAUCAACAACAGCUUGCAGAUAUUUUCUAAGAUCAGAGGAUCUCAGGAUUCAUUAGAAAUGGAUUUCAAAGUAGUGGUAACAAGUGGAUUCUGAAGUCAGACUGCUUGUGCUCAAAUCCUGAUUCUACAGCUUUCUAGGUGGAUGCUUAAGUAAGUUAUUUAAAGUUUUUGUGUCUCAGUUUCCUCAUUUACAAAUUAAGGAUAAUAAUAGUACUUAACAUGAGAUCACUAAUAAAUUAUCAGCUUGGAAAAGUUCCU
rnacentral:lncRNA from 1 species